GCAGCCCAGGAGGAAGGAGCUUUCUGCUGCAGAAAAGAUGAGAAGCCUGCUGAAGGAGCAGCACAUGACAUGGCUGUGGGAUGAAGAACCCUGCAAUCUGUGCUGCUACUUGCUGUGAUCUGGAGAGCUCUGGAAGUUGUCCUUGCAUUGUGAAGUUCUAGGAACCAGCUAAACCAGUGAUGUUCAAACUAUCUGGACCUGCAGGCAAGAUGAAUGGCACAGGUGAUAACCUUGGGCCAUGAGGUCUAAGGGACAUAAUGAGCCACAAGAGCCACUCAUGGGAAUUAACUGGCAGCCAGCAUUGAGCAGGAGGGAAGAAUCCGCAGGAGAAGCCAACAUCCAAUGGACUCAAAAGCCCAUCAGUAAGAUGGAAAUACAACCUGAUACCUGAGAAAGUGCAAAGACCAUUAAGACUGGAGGGCAAGCCACGCUGACAUCAGGCAGUCCAUUGUAGGCUGGUGUAUGGAAGGGGUGUAGGGGAGGUGAAGCCUCAUGAAUAUCUGUCAGGAGGAAUGACCGAUCUCGAGGGACUUCCAACAGGAGACCCCACCAUUGAAGUUAAAUUCAAAGUCAUGGCAGGUGAGUUCUGGGGUACUCCCUGGGGUGAUCAAGGCCCCUACCAGAGGUAACUCGAAGCCUCUCUGUGUCCAUCACCAGGCACCCACGCCAAGGUGGUGCGCAAAUGGAUCUUUGAAGUGAGACGGGCACAAGGAUGUUGGAGCCCCAUAAGAAGAGUGGCCUCUAGUUCUUGGAAUUAUCAUCAGUCCAUUUUUUCCAGCUCCCAGAAACUUAAGUUGCAACAUCAAGGCAUGUUGGGUGAGAACACUCCAUCUAAGUGAACUGGACCAAGAUGUUCCUAGACUGAAUCUUAAUGGAACAGGCCCACCAGAUCCCAGGAAGGUGGAACAGUGGCCUCGCAGGGGGAGAGAAUUAACAGUGACUGCACAUGCUAACUCCCUGGGCCAUAUCAUCCAGACUGCAAGGCUCCUCACGUGCCUAUAAAUCUUGCAGUGGGGGAGAAGUGGCAGCAUUAAUUGCUGCAGCCUUGGGAGCUAUUAAUACUGCUACUGCUUCCCUGCUGCCAAAUUUACAGACCCCUGGCUACCCUGUGGAGCUGUGUCAUCCAGCAUACAAGCUAGAUAUGGCUUGAAGGAUGGAGGGUUGAGCACUACUGAACUAAUAAAGCUACCAAGGCUCACUGCUUUCAUUCACUUGUGCUUGGUGCUUGCCUAUCUUUUCCCCUUUGGGAUGUCUGUAUUGCAGUUGCUAGUUCCAGUCACUGGAUGGGAGAGUUGGACGUUCAUCUGUUAUUCCUUAUAACAACUGAACUUAGAAAAUGUUGUUCUUGACAUGCUGGAGUGAACAUUCACAACCAGACUGCGUGACAAUUUGCUUUUUCAGCAUAUUCAAGAAAAGGCAGGUUUUUUAUCAGUGUGACAUUUGGAAAUUUCAAUCCAAAAUUGAUCCUGGUUUUGAAAAAUAUGGGUUUUUUUUAGUUUACACAAGAUCACAAAAAUAUGACUUUCCUAGUCCAUUAUCAAACCUCAAAGAUUAUUAAACUAAAUGCAAGUUAGGCCCAGAACUUCACAAAACCAACAUAAAAUCCAAAACCUUCUUCAGCUGAAGUGUUUUGUUUUUUUUAAUUUGCUACAAAUUUUUGUUCAAAUUAAUGCUGUUCCUAUUUAGAGAGAGCUAUUUAUUCUCUGUUCCCAUUUAUUGCUAAGAAAAUUAAUAAAAUAUGAACAAUGACCUGUGAAGGACUGAAUGCAAAGUUGUCUGGUGUUAUAAAGACACAGGCAUAAAUUCAUCAGAUCUUAUAUACCAAGUAUAGUUGGACUGUAAUGAAAUCCUGAGUCAUUGUGAGGAAGAAUUAUUCUGCAUGCCACUAGAGGACACUGUAUACCUUAAAUAAAAAGGCUAACUUGCUAAUU